CGUGUAGGCGGGACGGCAGGUGCUUUGUGAAAGCCCUCGGCUCAACCGGGGGAAUUGCUUGGCAAACCGCCGUCCUUGAGGCAGGUAGAGGCAACUGGAACCUUCGGUGGAGAGGUGAAAUUCGUAGAUAUCGAAGGGAACGCCGGUGGCGAAAGCGGGUUGCUGGGCCUGUCCUGACGCUGAGACGCGAAAGCGUAGGGAGCGAACG
rnacentral:rRNA from 1 species